rnacentral:rRNA from 2 species
GGUUAAGCGACUAAGCGUACACGGUGGAUGCCCUGGCAGUCAGAGGCGAUGAAGGGCGUGCUAAUCUGCGAUAAGCGCCGGUAAGGUGAUAUGAACCGUUAUAACCGGCGAUACCCGAAUGGGGAAACCCAGUGUGAUUCGUCACACUAUCAUUACGUGAAUACAUAGCGUAAUGAAGCGAACCGGGGGAACUGAAACAUCUAAGUACCCCGAGGAAAAGAAAUCAACCGAGAUUCCCCCAGUAGCGGCGAGCGAACGGGGAGGAGCCCAGAGCCUGAAUCAGCAUGUGUGUUAGUGGAAGCGUCUGGAAAGGCGCGCGAUACAGGGUGACAGCCCCGUACACAAAAGCGCAUGUGUUGUGAGCUCGAUGAGUAGGGCGGGACACGUGGUAUCCUGUCUGAAUAUGGGGGGACCAUCCUCCAAGGCUAAAUACUCCUGACUGACCGAUAGUGAACCAGUACCGUGAGGGAAAGGCGAAAAGAACCCCGGCGAGGGGAGUGAAAAAGAACCUGAAACCGUGUACGUACAAGCAGUGGGAGCACCCUUUGGGGUGUGACUGCGUACCUUUUGUAUAAUGGGUCAGCGACUUAUAUUCUGUAGCAAGGUUAACCGAAUAGGGGAGCCGGAGGGAAACCGAGUCUUAAUUGGGCGUUAAGUUGCAGGGUAUAGACCCGAAACCCGGUGAUCUAGCCAUGGGCAGGUUGAAGGUUGGGUAACACUAACUGGAGGACCGAACCGACUAAUGUUGAAAAAUUAGCGGAUGACCUGUGGCUGGGGGUGAAAGGCCAAUCAAACCGGGAGAUAGCUGGUUCUCCCCGAAAGCUAUUUAGGUAGCGCCUCGUGAACUCAUCUCCGGGGGUAGAGCACUGUUUCGGCUAGGGGGCCAUCCCGGCUUACCAACCCGAUGCAAACUGCGAAUACCGGAGAAUGUUAUCACGGGAGACACACGGCGGGUGCUAACGUCCGUCGUGAAGAGGGAAACAACCCAGACCGCCAGCUAAGGUCCCAAAGUCAUAGUUAAGUGGGAAACGAUGUGGGAAGGCCCAGACAGCCAGGAUGUUGGCUUAGAAGCAGCCAUCAUUUAAAGAAAGCGUAAUAGCUCACUGGUCGAGUCGGCCUGCGCGGAAGAUGUAACGGGGCUAAACUAUGCACCGAAGCUGCGGCAGCGACACUAUGUGU